rnacentral:rRNA from 1 species
AACGAACGCUGGCGGCAUGCCUAACACAUGCAAGUCGAACGAGACCUUCGGGUCUAGUGGCGCACGGGUGCGUAACGCGUGGGAACCUGCCCUUAGGUUCGGAAUAACUCCCCGAAAGGGGUGCUAAUACCGGAUAAUGUCUUCGGACCAAAGAUUUAUCGCCUUUGGAUGGGCCCGAGUUGGAUUAGCUAGUUGGUAGGGUAAAAGCCUACCAAGGCGACGAUCCAUAGCUGGUCUGAGAGGAUGAUCAGCCACACUGGGACUGAGACACGGCCCAGACUCCUACGGGAGGCAGCAGUGGGGAAUAUUGGACAAUGGGCGAAAGCCUGAUCCAGCAAUGCCGCGUGAGUGAUGAAGGCCUUAGGGUUGUAAAGCUCUUUUACCCGGGAUGAUAAUGACAGUACCGGGGGAAUAAGCUCCGGCUAACUCCGUG